AACAUCAUUCCUCAAAGAGAAAGAAAUGGAAGGGUGCAUGAGCGAAAGAGCUUCUAUCCUCUGCCUGACCUUCUCAAACUCCAGUCUAGGAUCCAUGCAUUUCCUCCUUACAGGCCGAACCCCUGCCGCCCGACGGAAGAGGCCUCCCGGAGCCCCUGCACAGCCGGGUCCGAGGAACGCUCGCGGCGGUCGCCACGGCCUUUCCGCUAUUAGAAGGGCUCCCGGAAUCAUCCUUUCGACGCGUGCUUUUCCCCCAAGUCACCUCGAACCGCGCUUCACCAACUCCCAGUUACCCACCGCCUCGGACGCCGGGCACGCGCACGUUCGCUCGCGAGGCUCGCGCACGCGCCACGAGCAUGCGCUUCUGGGAACGCGCUUGCGCGUCUGGGAACGCGCUUUCGUCGGUGACACCCAAAUGCGCGUGCGUACCAGCUGUUGUCUGACUAGGCGGGGUCUCUUCACACUGGUACCCCUAGUUCUCAAUCCUUAUCCCCCUUUCGCAUGGCGUGAGAAGCCGUUUCAAGCAGUUUUCUCUUGUUUCUGUCGUUUUCCUUCCCCCUUUCCUCCUUUGCACCUACUACCAUUUAAUUCAAUUAUAUUUUAUUUGUGUUUAUGUCUUCUCUCACUAUAAUGCAAACUAUUUGAAGGCAGGGAUUUUAUCCAUUCUGUUUACUGCUGUAUCCCGCUGGCCAAAAACAGUGCCUGGACGGUGAGGCACUCGAUGGGUGAAUAAAUCCACACCCUUCCAUCUUACAGAA